UCUAAUUUCUUGCUUUACUUUAAAGCAAGUGGUGCGGAUGGAGGUAACUCCCGCUCUGUUUCUUACUUCAGGUAAAAGAGUAAGUGGCGUGCAUGUAA
rnacentral:ncRNA from 1 species